AGGCGGGACCGGGAGCAGAGACUGGCCCCGAGUUAGAGAAGAGGGUGAAGGGAGAUGCAGAACGCCACUCCGUUAGGUUUAUAGCUGGGAGGUAUAUGAGAGCAGGGCUGAGCCACAUAGUGGAGUUGCCCACUAGAAGCCCAGAACGGCUGACCUGAAUCUGAUACUGGGUUGAAGCACACACUCUUAUAAACUCACCUAAGAGGAGCAAAAAGGGCAAAAGAAGCAGCAGGAGCUUCCAGAGUUUG